UACGUAGGGUGCGAGCGUUGUCCGGAAUUAUUGGGCGUAAAGAGCUCGUAGGCGGUUUGUUGCGUCGGCCGUGAAGACUUCACGCUUAACGUGGAGCUUGCGGUCGAUACGGGCAGACUUGAGUUCGGUAGGGGAGACUGGAAUUCCUGGUGUAGCGGUGAAAUGCGCAGAUAUCAGGAGGAACACCAGUGGCGAAGGCGACUACCUGGCCUGUUCUUGACGCUGAGGCGCGAAAGCUAGGGGAGCAAACGGG
rnacentral:rRNA from 1 species